CACUCGACCAUACAGGAAGACAAUUUUCUCCUCGUUCACCGAUAAUCCAAGCGUCAAUGAUGUUGAUUGGCAAAUUGACUUUUUUUGCAAGAAGAUUACGCAAAUUAACAGUGUCAAGAUUCGUACCGGUUCCUAUUACUUGAUUCGAAGAUAUUCUGCAACGAUUACACGUGAAAAUUAAUCACUCACUGUACCUGGUUCUACGGCUACCAGGAACACUGCUUCUGGACUAUGUUCUGCUAAAUUCCUUACAGACUCUGGAAUGACAUCAAGGAUAAUUACAAACAAAAAGCAGAGGAGAUGAACCACGAUGGCGCCCAAAUAACCCCCCAAAAUAUGUCUCAAGUCGAGGAUAACAAUAAGAGGAAAACCGAAUAAUUAUUGACUUCU